UUAACACACAGCAACACAGCGGCGGGCUAGCUAACAUGUCAGACAAGAAACAGACCGUGGACCUGGGUCUACUGGAGGAGGACGACGAGUUUGAAGAAUUCCCAGCCGAGGAUUGGACGGGGCUGGAUGAAGAUGAGGAUGCCCAUGUUUGGGAAGACAACUGGGAUGAUGAUAAUGUAGAGGAUGAUUUCUCAAAUCAACUGAGAGCGGAGCUGGAAAAACAUGGUUACAAGAUGGAGACGUCAUAGCGGCUGACAUGGCCUUUCACUAUUCCAUGACAUUGGAUAUGGACAUUUGGAUUUGAAUAUUACUUGCCGAUUACAAACCACAGGAUGAGAUUUAAAGGUGUUAAUUUGUUUUGUUUUUCUUUGUAAGAAAUGUCAAUGAAAGUAAAGUGUUUGGAGAAAAAAAA